rnacentral:tRNA from 1 species
AUUUAUAUAGUUUAAAAAAACAUUAUAUUUUCAAUAUAAAAUUAUUUAUAUUUAAGUUUAAUUAUAAAUA